ensembl:piRNA 21ur-5410 ncRNA
UCUUUUUGGAGUGUGGUCAUC